rnacentral:rRNA from 1 species
UACGUAGGGUGCAAGCGUUAAUCGGAAUUACUGGGCGUAAAGCGUGCGCAGGCGGCUUUGCAAGACAGAUGUGAAAUCCCCGGGCUCAACCUGGGAACUGCAUUUGUGACUGCAUGGCUAGAGUACGGUAGAGGGGGAUGGAAUUCCGCGUGUAGCAGUGAAAUGCGUAGAGAUCGGGAGGAACAUCUGUGGCGAAGGCGGCCAUCUGGACCAGCACUGACACUGAGGCACGAAAGCGUGGGGAGCAAACAGG